GAGGGUGUAGUUCAGUGGUAGAGUGCACGCUUAGCAUGCAUGAGGUCAUGGGUUCAAGCCCCAGUACCUCUG
rnacentral:tRNA from 1 species